UCCCUGGUGGCUCAGAGGGUAAAGCGUCUGCCUACAAUGCAGGAAACCUGGAUUCGAUCCCUGGGUUGGGAA
rfam:TPA: Bos taurus chromosome 13, whole genome shotgun sequence.